AUUGAACGCUGGCGGCAGGCUUAACACACGCAGGUCGAACGAUGAUUUCCCAGCUCGCUGGGAAUGAUUAGUGGCGGACGGGUGAGUAACAUUUAGGAAUCUGCCUAGUAGUGGGGGAUAGCUCGGGGAAACUCGAAUUAAUACCGCAUACGACCUACGGGUGAAAGGGGGCGCAAGCUCUUGCUAUUAGAUGAGCCUAAAUCAGAUUAGCUAGUUGGUGGGGUAAAGGCCCACCAAGGCGACGAUCUGUAACUGGUCUGAGAGGAUGAUGAGUCACACCGGAACUGAGACACGGUCCGGACUCCUACGGGAGGCAGCAGUGGGGAAUAUUGGACAAUGGGGGCAACCCUGAUCCAGCCAUGCCGCGUGUGUGAAGAAGGCCUUUUGGUUGUAAAGCACUUUAAGCAGGGAGGAGAGGCUAAUGGUUAAUACCCAUUAGAUUAGACGCUACCUGCAGAAUAAGCACCGGCUAGCUCUGUGCCAGCAGCCGCGGUAAUACAGAGGGUGCGAGCGUUAAUCGGAAUUACUGGGCGUAAAGCGAGUGUAGGUGGCUCAUUAAGUCACAUGUGAAAUCCCCGGGCUUAACCUGGGAACUGCAUGUGAUACUGGUGGUGCUAGAAUAUGUGAGAGGGAAGUAGAAUUCCAGGUGUAGCGGUGAAAUGCGUAGAGAUCUGGAGGAAUACCGAUGGCGAAGGCAGCUUCCUGGCAUAAUAUUGACACUGAGAUUCGAAAGCGUGGGUAGCAAACAGGAUUAGAUACCCUGGUAGUCCACGCCGUAAACGAUGUCUACUAGCCGUUGGGGUCCUUGAGACUUUAGUGGCGCAGUUAACGCGAUAAGUAGACCGCCUGGGGAGUACGGCCGCAAGGUUAAAACUCAAAUGAAUUGACGGGGGCCCGCACAAGCGGUGGAGCAUGUGGUUUAAUUCGAUGCAACGCGAAGAACCUUACCUGGUCUUGACAUAGUGAGAAUCUCUCAGAGAUGAGAGAGUGCCUUCGGGAACUCACAUACAGGUGCUGCAUGGCUGUCGUCAGCUCGUGUCGUGAGAUGUUGGGUUAAGUCCCGCAACGAGCGCAACCCUUUUCCUUAUUUGCCAGCGGGUUAAGCCGGGAACUUUAAGGAUACUGCCAGUGACAAACUGGAGGAAGGCGGGGACGACGUCAAGUCAUCAUGGCCCUUACGACCAGGGCUACACACGUGCUACAAUGGUAGGUACAGAGGGUUGCUACACAGCGAUGUGAUGCUAAUCUCAAAAAGCCUAUCGUAGUCCGGAUUGGAGUCUGCAACUCGACUCCAGGAAGUCGGAAUCGCUAGUAAUCGCGGAUCAGAAUGCCGCGGGGAAUACGUUCCCGGGCCU
rnacentral:rRNA from 1 species